AGCAGGCCUCCCUGGAUGUUACGGGCCCUCUUGGAGAACUACAAGAUGAGCUUGCAGCCCUGCCUUGGGAACGCACAGUAAGCAUGUCACUGAAGAUUACCUGGAGAUUUUCACAUUGGACACAACCACAUGCCUUGUUUCUCCUGACAAGCAGACAAUGGG
rnacentral:lncRNA from 1 species